rnacentral:rRNA from 1 species
GAUGAACGCUGGCGGCGUGCUUAACACAUGCAAGUCGAACGGAAAGGCUCCUGCUUGCAGGGGUACUCGAGUGGCGAACGGGUGAGUAACACGUGGGUGAUCUGCCCUGCACUUCGGGAUAAGCCUGGGAAACUGGGUCUAAUACCGGAUAGGACGAUGGUUUGGAUGCCAUUGUGGAAAGUUUUUUCGGUGUGGGAUGAGCUCGCGGCCUAUCAGCUUGUUGGUGGGGUAAUGGCCUACCAAGGCGUCGACGGGUAGCCGGCCUGAGAGGGUGUACGGCCGCAUUGGGACUGAGAUACGGCCCAGACUCCUACGGGAGGCAGCAGUGGGGAAUAUUGCACAAUGGGCGCAAGCCUGAUGCAGCGACGCCGCGUGGGGGAUGACGGCCUUCGGGUUGUAAACUCCUUUCGCUAGGGACGAAGCGCAAGUGACGGUACCUGGAGAAGAAGCACCGGCUAACUACGUG